UACGGAGGGUGCAAGCGUUAUCCGGAUUCACUGGGUUUAAAGGGUGCGUAGGUGGGCAGGUAAGUCAGUGGUGAAAUCUCCGGGCUUAACUCGGAAACUGCCAUUGAUACUAUCUUUCUUGAAUACCGUGGAGGUCAGCGGAAUAUGUCAUGUAGCGGUGAAAUGCUUAGAUAUGACAUAGAACACCCAUUGCGAAGGCAGCUAACUACGCGAAUAUUGACGCUGAGGCACGAAAGCGUGGGGAUCAAACAGG
rnacentral:rRNA from 1 species